AAAAUUAAUUUUAAUUCCCGAUCAUAAAUUUAAGUUUUCCCAGCUUCGUCGAAGGUCGACUUUACUGCUAAAACGUGACUACAGAUCACACUUAUCGCGGUCGGAUCAUAUCGUAUGAGGUGUCAAUCGAAAGGUUAG